UACCCUCUGAGCUAAGUGGGC
rnacentral:tRNA from 1 species